GACGGAGGAUGCAAGCGUUAUCCGGAAUGAUUGGGCGUAAAGCGUCCGCAGGUGGCAGUUCAAGUCUGCUGUCAAAGACCGGGGCUUAACUUCGGAAAGGCAGUGGAAACUGAACAGCUAGAGUAUGGUAGGGGCAGAGGGAAUUCCUGGUGUAGCGGUGAAAUGCGUAGAGAUCAGGAAGAACAUCGGUGGCGAAGGCGCUCUGCUGGACCAUAACUGACACUCAGGGACGAAAUCUAGGGGAGCGAAUGGG
rnacentral:rRNA from 1 species